UCAGCUUCGGGGUUUUGGUUC
rnacentral:siRNA from 1 species